UACAGAGGGUGCGGGCGUUAAUCGGAAUUACUGGGCGUAAAGCGCGCGUAGGCGGCUUUGCAAGCCGGAUGUGAAAUCCCCGGGCUUAACCUGGGAACUGCAUUCGGGACUGCAUUGCUAGAGUAUGGGAGAGGGAAGUGGAAUUUCAGGUGUAGCGGUGAAAUGCGUAGAUAUCUGAAGGAACACCGGUGGCGAAGGCGGCAUCCUGGACCGGUAUUGACGCUGAUGCGCGAAAGCCAGGGGAGCAAACGGG
rnacentral:rRNA from 1 species